UACAGAGGUCUCAAGCGUUGUUCGGAUUCAUUGGGCGUAAAGGGUGCGUAGGUGGCGCUGUAAGUCAGGUGUGAAAUUUCGGAGCUUAACUCCGAAACUGCAUAUGAUACUGCGGUGCUUGAGGACUGGAGAGGAGACUGGAAUUUACGGUGUAGCAGUGAAAUGCGUAGAGAUCGUAAGGAAGACCAGUGGCGAAGGCGGGUCUCUGGACAGUUACUGACACUGAGGCACGAAGGCCAGGGGAGCAAACGGG
rnacentral:rRNA from 1 species